AGGGAUUUAGCUCAAUGGUAGAGUGCAUGCUUAGCAUGCAGGAGGUCCUGGGUUCAAUCCCCAGUAUCUCUA
rnacentral:tRNA from 1 species